GACGAACGCUGGCGGCGUGCUUAACACAUGCCAGUCGAACGAUGAAGAAGAGAAACGCGAACUUCGGUUCAAAUUUCACUUCGGAUUAGUGGCAGACGGGUGAGUAACGCGUGAGCAACCUACCUCUUACAAAGGGAUAGCCUCGGGAAACCGUGAUUAAUACCAUAUGACACAUUCAUAAGGCAUCUUAAGAAUGUUAAAGCUACGGCGGUAAGAGAUGGGCUCGCGUCCCAUUAGCUAGUUGGUGAGGUAACGGCCCACCAAGGCGACGAUGGGUAACCGGCCUGAGAGGGUGAACGGUCACAUUGGAACUGAGACACGGUCCAAACUCCUACGGGAGGCAGCAGUGGGGAAUAUUGCACAAUGGAGGGAACUCUGAUGCAGCGACGCCGCGUGAGCGAUGAAGGAAUUCGUUUCGUAAAGCUCUGUUCUAUGGGAAGAAAAGGACUGUACCAUAGGAGAAAGCCCCGGCUAAAUACGUG
rnacentral:rRNA from 1 species